rnacentral:rRNA from 1 species
UAGGUAACCUGCCUCUAAGAUCGGGAUAACCUGUCGAAAGACGAGCUAAUACCAAAUGAGACCACAGCUUCUUCGGAAGCAAGGGUCAAAGGUAGCCUCUACUUGUAAGCUAUCACUUAGAGAUGGGCCUGCGUACCAUUAGCUAGUUGGUGGGGUAACGGCCCACCAAGGCAAGGAUGGUUAGCUGGUCUGAGAGGAUGAUCAGCCACACUGGGACUGAGACAGGCCCAG